rnacentral:rRNA from 1 species
UACGGAGGGUGCAAGCGUUGUUCGGAAUUAUUGGGCGUAAAGCGCGUGUAGGCGGUCAUCUAAGUCUGGUGUGAAAUCCUGGGGCUCAACCCCAGAAGUGCACUGGAUACUGGACGACUAGAGGACGAGAGAGGAAAGUGGAAUUCCUGGUGUAGGGGUGAAAUCCGUAGAUAUCAGGAGGAACACCAGUGGCGAAGGCGACUACCUGGCCUGUUCUUGACGCUGAGGCGCGAAAAGCUAGGGGGAGCAAACGGG